GAAAUUAAAGAGGAAUUUGACAAUGUUAGAGUUGGCAUGAAAAUCUUUAUAAGAGAGGAAAAAGGGGAGUUGAGACUUGAGAGGAGAGGCGACGUGAAGAGGAAGUGGCGAAGAAGCAGUGGGAAGAGGAGGGUGGAGGCAGAGGCGGAGGGGGCGAAGAGUGGAGGCGCUCGUGGAAGAGGGAGGAUGAGGGUGGAGGCGGGCCUAGAGUAAGGGAAGAGAGUGGAGGCGAGGCGUGUUUGGACUUUGAAGUGGAACGGCAUAAAUUAGGAUUGAAUUUUCAGAAUUUGGUUUCAAAUUUGAGUGGUAAUUUGGUCGAUCAACGAGAAAAACAAUAAGAAAAAGAAGAGAAAAAGUGCAAAUUUAAUCCAAAUUUGAAAGGUUAGCGGAGUCUCAACAGUUGGUACUACAGAAAAUGAGGCAUCCAUUAUCCCGAGCGCCAGUGGAUCUCGCCGCCGCAACCCUUCCCUCAUCUUAUUCCAUUGUUCACAUGCCGCCGCCACGUCACCUGAGACCAGUCAAUUUGUUUUGAGGCAUAAGAAUUUUUGAUUUGAUGCACCAACUUGUAGCGAAACCUAGUGAAGAUUGUCCGUUUUCAUUGUUGCUUUUUGAAUCUAGCCAGCAAAAUAAUGUAAUUGCUCGAAGAAUGGUUGCUUUUAUGGGUUUGAUACAUCAAUAGUCGGACUGACAAUAGAUUUCAAGUAAGGUUUUUAGUGUUUGAUAGCAUGUGAAAUUCUCUCAAUAUGGCAUGAAACUCUCAAAAACUGUUGAUUUCCUUUUCUCCUUCUAGUUUUAAUUUAUCAGAAGUUCUAAACUCCAGAUACUAGUACUACUUCCCAGAGAUGAUAGAAAAUGCAGAGUAAAUAAGAUUCUUUAGGCAGUGUAUAUCUUUAUUUCUUUCUGAUACUAGAAAAACGUCCAAAAAAAGCUAUGGCACUGACGAAAUAUUGAACCAGAUCAGAACUGUUCACCCUCUUUACUUUUUAAGUUCAUGUUUUUUGGACUGGGAAAGAAUUUAUUGAUAGUUCCGAUUGAAUCUUAGAACCCGGCAUCCUUACGAAGUUUCGGUUUGGUUUUAUAUUUAUUAGUUCAAGCAUCCUCAUGAAGUUUUCAUAAGUAUGGAGAAAAUUAUGAUGACGAUCAUUCAUAAUAAUGUGGACAAUGAUAAGUUGUCAUUGGUGCUUGUUAAGGUCCUUCUUAAUAAUUUGAGAAGAGAGAAUCAGGUAAUUCUAUCUUAAUUUUGCAAAUGUGAUGACCUGCUUUUGCCACCAAUGUUUUUUUAAUUUUGCAGGACUCAGAAGAUACUCCAGGCAAAUCUGGAUUAGAAACAGAAGCUGAUUUAAUUGAGGGCAAUGGAACUCAAAAUUCCAAAAACAAACUGUACUAUGAAAAUCAAGGGAUGACAUCUCAUUGUUUUGAGGAUCCUGAUGAAGCAGGCAAAGCAAUGCACGGGCAACAGGAACAAAAACCAGAAGAAUUGCAUAUUGGGUGAAAAAUAAUUCGAAGACCACGUUCUCUACAGAAAGCAGAGGAGGGCUAUGAUCCUUUCUGGUUGUUUAUUGAAGAACAUUAAUUAUCCAGCAAAAACCAAAACGUUGAAGGAUUUGUUGACCAAACCUGUAAGCAAAAAUAUCAGCGAUUCCAUUUCUCCAAGGCCUAGUAAAAUGAAGAAAACGUCCAAAAGUAAUGAAGAAGCCUCUGCCAAUAAAGCUUUAUAGCCUACUAGUGAAGAAACAAUUGUUUUGUCGGAGGACGAGGUUCAACUUACAGGUAUCUUUGUCAAGAGACGCUCUGGAAAAGGGAAAGGGUCUUUGAUGAAGGGAUCUCCUGUGAAGAAAAGCAGGAAAAAGGCUGUUGAUGCUGAAGACUUAAACGAAGAUAUCAUGAGCUGCUCUGAAAAAGGUCAAUGGUCUUUGACGAAGAUAUCUCCUGUGAAGAAAAGCAGGAGAAAGACUGUGGUUCCUGAAGAUCUAAAAGAAGAUAUUGUUGUAAUAAAUGAUCCUUUAUAUAUUCUAAACACUACUUUAUGGUCUUUUAUAUAAUAAACUCAAUGGUUAUAAUGGUA